ensembl:lncRNA novel transcript
CGACAUCUAAGCUGAGAUCUGAAUGUUGAUGCAGUUGUAGGCAUAGGAACAUUAUUGUGUCCAGCGAUUUCAGGGCACAGUCUGCAGCUGGUGGCACAACUCUCAGGGCUAUAUAAUGAUGUAUGGCUUGUUCUUCGUGGCCCUCUGCAAAAAAAAAUAUGAAUUUCAGAACGUGAACAACUAGCAGACAUCUGCUGCAUUAAGAGGGAAAAGUCAGAGCUAACUAGUUUAUCUUGGAAACAUUUCCAUUUCUAUUAAGUUUCCAGGCAAAGUGGAUUCUGCUGGUCAGGGCACCACACUUCGGGAACCAUGACCCUCUGAUAACCUUCCCUUUGGCAUGCAGAGUAGCUCCUGUGUCCAAGGCAGUAGGCAGGAACCAGGUGAAGAUGAUACCAAGAAGUCUCUGAAGAGGGUCCUGUUCUCAGGGAGAUAACAGACCAGUGAGCCUAGGUGGAGAAUGACAUUGAAAUAUGAACCAAGCAAAGACUGGAAAGGUGAAGGUCAUCAUUGGCCAACGUCUUCCUUCUCAGUUACUAAAACAAGUCAUGGGAUUAAGUCAUGAUCAUCACCCCAUGUGACACUGAAAGGAAUGAAGAGACUAUAUUGGAUAUUCAGUUAAUUAUAUGUCUCAUGCUU